rnacentral:rRNA from 1 species
CGCGUAGGCGGACUUUUAAGUCGGAGGUGAAAGCCCAGGGCUCAACCCUGGAAUUGCCUUCGAUACUGGGAGUCUUGAGUUCGGAGGAGGUUGGUGGAACUGCGAGUGUAGAGGUGAAAUUCGUAGAUAUUCGCAAGAACACCGGUGGCGAAGGCGGCCAACUGGUCCGAAACUGACGCUGAGGCGCGAAAGCGUGGGGAGCAAACA